AGAGACAGCAGUCGCCCGGGAAUACGUAGGGUGCAAGCGUUAAUCGGAAUUACUGGGCGUAAAGCGUGCGCAGGCGGUUAUGUAAGACAGUUGUGAAAUCCCCGGGCUCAACCUGGGAACUGCAUCUGUGACUGCAUAGCUAGAGUACGGUAGAGGGGGAUGGAAUUCCGCGUGUAGCAGUGAAAUGCGUAGAUAUGCGGAGGAACACCGAUGGCGAAGGCAAUCCCCUGGACCUGUACUGACGCUCAUGCACGAAAGCGUGGGGAGCAAACAGGAUUAGAUACCCCAGUAGUCCCUGUCUCUUAUACA
rnacentral:rRNA from 1 species